GAGGCCUGCCUGCCCAGUGACAAACGUUCAACGGCCGCGGUAUCCUGACCGUGCAAAGGUAGCAUAAUCACUUGUUCCUUAAUUGGGGACUGGAAUGAAUGGCCUCACGAGGAUUCAACUGUCUCUUACCUCUAAUCAGUGAAAUUGACCUCCCCGUGAAGAGGCGGGGAUACAACAACAAGACGAGAAGACCCUAUGGAGCUUUAAUUUCCUGUCUUAACUACUAAAUAACUAACCCUACUGGGAUAAAAAAAAAGAGAAGUAAGUCAGUAAUUUCGGUUGGGGUGACCUCGGAGAAUAAAACAACCUCCGAAUGAUUUUAACCAAGACAAACAAGUCAAAGUAUUAAAAAUCAAAUUGACCCAAUUCAUUUGAUCAACGGACCAAGUUACCCUAGGGAUAACAGCGCAAUCCUAUUCAAGAGUCCAUAUCGACAAUUAGGGUUUACGACCUCGAUGUUGGAUCAGGACAUCCCAAUGGUGCAGCAGCUAUUAACGGUUCGUUUGUUCAACGAUUAAAGUCCUACGUGAUCUG
rnacentral:rRNA from 1 species